rnacentral:tRNA from 1 species
CAUUAUGAAGCUAACAACAGCAUUAACCUUUUAAGUUAAAGACUAGGAGUUUAAACCUCCUCAUAAUGA